rnacentral:rRNA from 1 species
AGAGUUUGAUCAUGGCUCAGGAUGAACGCUAGCGGCAGGCCUAAUACAUGCAAGCUGAACGGCAAGACUUUUAGCAAUAGAAGUCCUAGAGUAGCGUAAGGGUGCGUAACACGUAUGCAAUCUGCCCGUAACAGGAGGAUAGCUCGCCGAAAGGCGGAUUAAUACUCCAUAAGAUCACACGAGGGCAUCUGAGGGUGAUUAAAGUUGAGGUGGUUACGGAUGAGCAUGCGCAUGAUUAGUUAGUUGGCGGGGUAACGGCCCACCAAGACGAUGAUCAUUAGGGGAACUGAGAGGUUGAUCCCCCACACUGGCACUGAGAUACGGGCCAGACUCCUACGGGAGGCAGCAGUAGGGAAUAUUGGACAAUGGGUGAGAGCCUGAUCCAGCCAUGCCGCGUGCAGGAAGAAAGCCUUCUGGGUUGUAAACUGCUUUUUCCAGGGGAUAAAAACACUUUGCGAAGUGGAUUGAAGGUACCUGGAGAAUAAGCCACGGCUAACUACGUGCCAGCAGCCGCGGUAAUACGUAGGUGGCAAGCGUUGUCCGGAUUUAUUGGGUUUAAAGGGUGCGUAGGCGGUUCUUUAAGUCAGUUGUGAAAUACGGCAGCUUAACUGUCGAGGUGCAAUUGAUACUGGAGGACUAGAGUACUGAUGAGGUAGGCGGAAUGGACGGUGUAGCGGUGAAAUGCUUAGAGAUCGUCCAGAACACCGAUAGCGAAGGCAGCUUACUAAGGAGUAACUGACGCUGAGGCACGAAAGUGUGGGGAUCAAACAGGAUUAGAUACCCUAGUAGUCC